rnacentral:rRNA from 1 species
GUGCCAGCAGCCGCGGUAAUACGUAGGGCGCAAGCGUUAUCCGGAAUUAUUGGGCGUAAAGAGCUCGUAGGCGGUUUGUCGCGUCUGCUGUGAAAUCCGGAGGCUCAACCUCCGGCCUGGAGUGGGUACGGGCAGACUAGAGUGCGGUAGGGGAGAUUGGAAUUCCUGGUGUAGCGGUGGAAUGCGCAGAUAUCUGGAGGAACACCGAUGGCGAAGGCAGAUAUCAGGAGGAACACCGAUGGCGAAGGCAGAUCUCUGGGCCGUAACUGACGCUGAGGAGCGAAAGUAGUCC